GACGAACGCUGGCGGCGUGCUUAACACAUGCAAGUCGAACGGAAAGGCCCUGCUUUUGUGGGGUGCUCGAGUGGCGAACGGGUGAGUAACACGUGAGUAACCUGCCCUUGACUUUGGGAUAACUUCAGGAAACUGGGGCUAAUACCGGAUAGGAGCUCCUGCUGCAUGGUGGGGGUUGGAAAGUUUCGGCGGUUGGGGAUGGACUCGCGGCUUAUCAGCUUGUUGGUGGGGUAGUGGCUUACCAAGGCUUUGACGGGUAGCCGGCCUGAGAGGGUGACCGGCCACAUGGGUACUGAGAUACGGCCCAGACUCCUACGGGGGGCAGCAGUGGGGAAUAUUGCACAAUGGGCGGAAGCCUGAUGCAGCAACGCCGCGUGCGUGAUGACGGCCUUCGGGUUGUAAACCGCUUUCGCCUGUGACGAAGCGUGAGUGACGGUAAUGGGUAAAGAAGCACCGGCUAACUACGUG
rnacentral:rRNA from 1 species